rnacentral:rRNA from 1 species
AUUGAACGCUGGCGGCAGGCCUAACACAUGCAAGUCGAGCGGAUGAGAGAAGCUUGCUUUUCGAUUCAGCGGCGGACGGGUGAGUAAUGCCUAGGAAUCUGCCUGUUAGUGGGGGAUAACUCGGGGAAACUCGGGCUAAUACCGCAUACGUCCUACGGGAGAAAGUGGGGGAUCUUCGGACCUCACGCUAACAGAUGAGCCUAGGUCGGAUUAGCUAGUAGGUGAGGUAAUGGCUCACCUAGGCGACGAUCCGUAACUGGUCUGAGAGGAUGAUCAGUCACACUGGAACUGAGACACGGUCCAGACUCCUACGGGAGGCAGCAGUGGGGAAUAUUGGACAAUGGGCGAAAGCCUGAUCCAGCCAUGCCGCGUGUGUGAAGAAGGUCUUCGGAUUGUAAAGCACUUUAAGUUGGGAGGAAGGGUAUUCAUCUAAUACGUGGGUACUUUGACGUUACCAACAGAAUAAGCACCGGCUAACUCUGUGCCAGCCGCCGCGGUAAUAC